rnacentral:rRNA from 1 species
GACAGAGGGUGCAAACGUUGUUCGGAUUUACUGGGCGUAAAGCGCGUGUAGGCGGCCUUGCAAGUCGGAUGUGAAAGCCCACGGCUCAACCGUGGAAGUGCAUCCGAAACUGCAUAGCUUGAGUCUCGGAGAGGAAGGUGGAAUGCUUGGUGUAGAGGUGAAAUUCGUAGAUAUCAAGCGGAACGCCGGUGGCGAAGGCGGCCUUCUGGACAGUGACUGACGCUGAGACGCGAAAGCGUGGGGAGCAAACAGGAU